AUUGGCUCCCAUCAACCUACUUUAUCACGCAAAAAUCGUGGGUGCAUUUACAUUGACAUUAAAUUAUAGCCUACCUGUAACGAAAAUGAACCCAUUUAAAACUUCAUUUAAAAGUGCUGGCAGCUUGAUAUGGCAUUGCAUCUGUUCCUUUAGCCAGGGUGGUGUCUAGCUAGCUCAUAUCAUGACUCCAAUUACAUUGUAUUACAUUGGGUCAUUGGACGUCCCCUUUAGCCUUGUGAGGGAAAUGCCCGACGCUGCCAAAAUGCUAGAUCUAAACUAAAAUACGCCUUGCGAUAAUGUUUUGGAAAUAUUUGGAACUUUCAUAUGAAUUAUAAAUACAGAAGAUACACUUACUGUAAACAGUUUAUCAAAGUUGCACCUGGCUGUGUUUUGAGUAAUACGUUUUUGCAACCAGAAAUAUGGAAUGGUCCAAUGGAAAUGCCAGCACAAGGUGAGAAGAUGUGUCAUAUCUCGGCAGGAGACUGUUAUAGCCAGAUGCAACUUUGUUAAACUGCAUACAGUAAGUGUAUCUUUUGUAUUUGAAAGAUUCGUUCUCGCUGGUAUGAAAGUUAAGUUCCAAAUAGAGUCUGGGGAUUGUAAUUCACCUGGAACCAUCUGUGGUCCAUACUUUCAGCUGAGAACCCAAAAGAGGGCCUGUCAUGCCAAAUAGCGUCCCCCUCACGUCACAAUAGGAUUCGAUACAUUCUAGCUUCUGUUGCUAGGGCUAUUGCAUUAACUUGCAAAAUUCUGACCGGAAUACGUAAUGAACCAUAGCGUCCGUUGCUAUGCUGGUUGCUAUGCUGGUUGCUUGGCUCUAUUUGACCUCGCAGGGGAUGCGGGCAGUUCGUGUUAUAUUUCACCGUUUAAACGCUCGCUUAGUCCGCGCAAAAUUAUUACCUCAAAAUUGCUCUCCAAGGAUGGUGUAUUUGACGGUGACUACCUGCUGCCUCAGAGGACUGGAAAGAGAACACUUUCUUUACCAUGUAUUUGUACAUAUUGUCAAAUAGGAAUACAUAAUUUAUUGUUUUUAUAGAUCGACGUUGCUAGCUACUGUACUUCUAUACCUCAGCAUGCCUAGCCAGACAGUUUUAUUUAGCUAAGCUAACGUUAGCUAGCUAGAUAGCAAGCAAGCUACUAUAACUGUUAUUGCAGCUUUCUGUUUGUAUGUAGCGUGCACUUCAAUGCCAUCCCUCGAGGAGAUUUUCUUUUCUCUUUCCAACCUGAGGAAGUACUAUGAAGACACCACUGAUGUCGACAAGAGGCGCAACAUUCAGAGAAAUUCAGGGCAAUCAUAUCUACCUACGGGGAAGGAUGGCCAGCCACACAGAAGGUUGAUUUUUACUAAGGAGGAGAAGGAGGCCAUCCUGACAGAGAUGCAUGUGGACAUUUUUGGAGUGAAGCGCAUGAAUGCCAAAAUCAACCUACUCUUCUUCUGACGUGAAAUUGUCAAGGAGGUGGAUAGCUGGGCAAGUCAGUACCCUGUCUAGCCUGCCAGAAGUUUGAGAGGGCGAAGACUGUGGCACUGGAGAUAAAGCCCAUCAAAGUUGUUUCACCAUGGCACAUGAUCGGUUCACCAUGGCACAUGAUCGGGGUGGAACUCAUUGGACCCUUCACGAAAUCCAGGAAUGACAACAGCUGGUGUCUUCCAGCGACCGAUCACUUUCCAAGUGGGUGGAGGCAAUGCCCAUUAAGGACGAGACUAGCGAGACCACCUCCAAGGCGAUAGUGGACUAUCUUCAGCACCCACGGUUCUCCUGAGGUCAUCUUGAGUGACCGAGGUCAUGAACGCUGGAAUAAGAUAUCGCUUUUCUACCCCCUCCACCGGGUAUGGUGGAUGGACAAACCAGACCCUCAAGUCCCUUGAUACCAGGAAGGCUGGGAGAACAACCUGAAGGUAAUUCUCUUUGCACACAACAGCAUCCAGGCCAAGUAUGGAUGGGAGCCGCAGCUGUUGUCUAAGGUAAACAAUGCAAUUGUAUAUAGAAUUAUUGCAUAUACUGUAGUCUUUCAAAUUUGUGAGUGACUUUUAGUGUUGUUUGUCUAUUGCUAUUUUUGUAUAACUUACUUUCAGAUCUCUGAAACCCCACCUGAUGUGGUGGAAGUUGUCGAUCCAGGUUAGAACGCCUUCGAGUACCACCUUCAGACUGAGAAGGAUGUUGUUAUGACAUCUAGGAGUAGUGGGUGCGGAGUCAGGCGCAGAGAGCAGAGGGUAAAGGACAACUGUAUUUAUUCCGGAGAAAAGUAGGUCACGCCAAAACACCGGGCGCAUACAAUGACCGGCCCAAAAACAGGACACAAACAGUCCGGAGAAAUACAGAAAAUAUCACAUCCACAAAACGAACAGAGAAACAAGCCCGCACAAAAGCCGGCGGGCUUACUGGGUUUAAAUAGCCCACAAUCACAACCUAAACCCAAAACAGGUGCAACUAAUCAGACACAACUAAAUUAAACAGAAAAGGGGAUCGGUGGCAGCUAGUAGGCCUGUCGACGACGACCGCCGAGCCCCGCCCGAACAGGAAGAGGCACCAUCUUCGGCGGGAUUCGUGUCAGAUGUGGAGGUUUUUGACCAGGAAAAAUGAUUGCCCGCUGUUAAUUUAUGUUGUAACGCUGCAGUAAUCCAUCAAAUUUUCUCAAAGUAAAGUGGAACCUGUGUGUUUGCUUGUUUACUUCUCUGUCUCCUACCUUUUUCAUUUUAACUCUGCUCCUGUUCUCCAGUACCUAGGGGUUCUGCCCAACACCCAGAUGUGGAUCCACCUUAUGUCCUCCAUUACCAACCACCCUCCAACUUUUCAUUACAUCAUCUACAGCUACUGUUGUCAUGUUGUCAUUAUCUGUUAAGAGUUUUCUUGCUCUUAUCAUUCUGGGCACAUAAUAUGUGAGAUCCACAGAUGAACUAAAAACACUAGCACUGCAAACACUUAGAACAAAGAGAGCAGCAGUGCCUGGACUUUGCUGUCUCCCUCUUCAAGUCCCCCUUCUGAGACGCUGCCUGUUGAGAACAAGUGACAGGCAGAAUUCCACACACCAGAAUUCAGUAUUUUAGUCUAUGAAUGCCAUGUGAGUGUACAAAAAAUAUGUGGAAAUAAAUUAAUGAUAUAACUA